UUGAGAAGGCAAAUGAAAUAGAUGUGCACAAUGAUGCAACACCCCCUUGGGAAGGAGGCCACGCUGGGGAAUUUAGGUCUAACAGUGGGUAGCAAACUACACAAACUCACAGCUGCUCUCCAGGUCCCCUGAAAACCGCGAUACCUUCCUCUCCAGGCGGGUUCCCGAACUCACCCUCUGGCUGUGCUUUCAAGGAGCAGACGGCAGCUACACCUCCCCAUGAGCACAUUUUGGCCCAGUUGCCAGAGUUCUGAGGACAAGUGCGGGAAGAACAAGUCUCCAGCUGAUAGUCCAGCAGAUGCGAAAACACACCUCAGAGUGGCUAGACCCUAAGUCCAUGCAUGGGCAGCUGAGGAGCCCUGUGUGAGCCUCAGGUCCUGGAGUCACAGCGAUGCCUGAAUCUACUUACAUCAUCUUCCUAAGCCUCAGAUUACUUAUCUGUAAGACAAGGAUAAAAAAUAUACUUAACAGAAUAGCUGUAAGAAUUAAAUCAGAAAAUACGUGUACAACGAAUAACAUAAUACCUGUCAUGUAAUUAAGGUCUUAUCAUUCAUUGAAUCAACAAAUACGUAUUGAGUUCUGACUUUGGGUCAAUGCCCUGAGGUUCUAGUGGUAAGACAAACAGAUUGUGAUUCCUUUCUGCAAGGAGAUUAUGUUCCAGUAAA